rnacentral:rRNA from 1 species
UACGGAGGGAGCUAGCGUUGUUCGGAAUUACUGGGCGUAAAGCGCGUGUAGGCGGCUUUGCAAGUCGGGCGUGAAAUCCCACGGCUCAACCGUGGAAGUGCACUCGAAACUGCAGAGCUAGAGUCCUGGAGAGGAAGGUGGAAUGCUUGGUGUAGAGGUGAAAUUCGUAGAUAUCAAGCGGAACACCGGUGGCGAAGGCGGCCUUCUGGACAGUGACUGACGCUGAGACGCGAAAGCGUGGGGAGCAAACAGG